rnacentral:rRNA from 1 species
CCUACGGGCGGCAGCAGUGAGGAAUAUUGGUCAAUGGACGAGAGUCUGAACCAGCCAAGUAGCGUGAAGGAUGACUGCCCUAUGGGUUGUAAACUUCUUUUAUAUGGGAAUAAAAUGUUCCACGUGUGGGAUUUUGUAUGUACCAUAUGAAUAAGGAUCGGCUAACUCCGUGCCAGCAGCCGCGGUAAUACGGAGGAUGCGAGCGUUAUCCGGAUUUAUUGGGUUUAAAGGGUGCGUAGGCGGGUUAUCAAGUCAGCGGUAAAAUUGUGGAGCUCAACCCCAUACAGCCGUUGAAACUGAGAUUCUUGAGUGGGCGAGAAGUAUGCGGAAGGCGUGGGGUAGCGGUGAAAUGCAUAGAUAUCACGCAGAACUCCGAUUGCGAAGGCAGCAUACCGGCGCCCAACUGACGCUGAAGCACGAAAGCGUGGGUAUCGAACAGGAUUAGAUACCCUUGUAGUC